rnacentral:rRNA from 1 species
AUUGAACGCUGGCGGCAUGCCUUACACAUGCAAGUCGAACGGUAACAGGUCUUCGGAUGCUGACGAGUGGCGGACGGGUGAGUAAUACAUCGGAACGUGCCUAGUAGUGGGGGAUAACUCCUCGAAAGAGUGGCUAAUACCGCCUGAGAUCUACGGAUGAAAGCAGGGGAUCGCAAGACCUUGUGCUACUAGAGCGGCCGAUGGCAGAUUAGGUAGUUGGUGGGAUAAAAGCUUACCAAGCCGACGAUCUGUAGCUGGUCUGAGAGGACGAUCAGCCACACUGGGACUGAGACACGGCCCAGACUCCUACGGGAGGCAGCAGUGGGGAAUUUUGGACAAUGGGCGAAAGCCUGAUCCAGCAAUGCCGCGUGCAGGAUGAAGGCCUUCGGGUUGUAAACUGCUUUUGUACGGAACGAAAAGCCCCGGGUUAAUACCCUGGGGUCAUGACGGUACCGUAAGAAUAAGCACCGGCUAACUACGUGCCAGCCGCCGCCGUAA